AANGGCGAANCCUGAUGCAGCAACGCCGCGUGCGGGAUGACGGCCUUCGGGUUGUAAACCGCUUUCACCAGGGGCGAAUUUGGACGGUACCUGGGGAAGAAGCACCGGCUAACUACGUGCCAGUAGCCGCGGUGAUACGUAGGGUGCGAGCGUUGUCCGGAUUUAUUGGGCGUAAAGGGCUCGUAGGUGGUUUGUUGCGUCGGAAGUGAAAACCUGCAGCUUAACUGUGGGCGUGCUUUCGAUACGGGCAGACUUGAGGAAGGUAGGGGAGAACGGAAUUCCUGGUGGAGCGGUGGAAUGCGCAGAUAUCAGGAGGAACACCGGUGGCGAAGGCGGUUCUCUGGACCUUUCCUGACGCUGAGGAGCGAAAGCGUGGGGAGCAAACAGGCUUAGAUACCCUGGUAGUCCACGCCGUAAACGGUGGGCACUAGGUGUGGGGGACAUUCCACGUUCUCCGUGCCGUAGCUAACGCAUUAAGUGCCCCGCCUGGGGAGUACGGCCGCAAGGCUAAAACUCAAAGGAAUUGACGGGGGCCCGCACAAGCGGCGGAGCAUGCGGAUUAAUUCGAUGCAACGCGAAGAACCUUACCUGGGUUUGACAUCUGCCGGAAGCAUCCAGAGAUGGGUGUGCCUUUUUGGUCGGUUGACAGGUGGUGCAUGGCUGUCGUCAGCUCGUGUCGUGAGAUGUUGGGUUAAGUCCCGCAACGAGCGCAACCCUCGUCCUAUGUUGCCAGCACGUAAUGGUGGGAACUCAUGGGAGACUGCCGGGGUCAACUCGGAGGAAGGUGGGGAUGACGUCAAGUCAUCAUGCCCCUUAUGUCCAGGGCUUCACGCAUGCUACAAUGGCUGGUACAAAGGGUUGCGAUCCCGUGAGGGGGANCGAAUCCCGUAAAGCCAGUCUCAGUUCGA
rnacentral:rRNA from 1 species